AACGAACGCUGGCGGCAGGCCUAACACAUGCAAGUCGAGCGGGACCUUCGGGUCUAGCGGCGGACGGGUGAGUAUCGCGUGGGAACGUGCCCUUCUCUACGGAAUAGCCUCGGGAAACUGAGAGUAAUACCGUAUACGCCCUUUGGGGGAAAGAUUUAUCGGAGAAGGAUCGGCCCGCGUUGGAUUAGGUAGUUGGUGGGGUAAUGGCCUACCAAGCCGACGAUCCAUAGCUGGUUUGAGAGGAUGAUCAGCCACACUGGGACUGAGACACGGCCCAGACUCCUACGGGAGGCAGCAGUGGGGAAUCUUAGACAAUGGGGGCAACCCUGAUCUAGCCAUGCCGCGUGAGUGAUGAAGGCCUUAGGGUUGUAAAGCUCUUUCAGCUGGGAAGAUAAUGACGGUACCAGCAGAAGAAGUCCCGGCUAACUCCGUGCCAGCAGCCGCCGUAA
rnacentral:rRNA from 1 species